rnacentral:rRNA from 1 species
UACGUAGGCAGCGAGCGUUGUUCGGAGUUACUGGGCGUAAAGGGCUCGUAGGCGGCCAACUAAGUCGAACGUGAAAUCCCCGGGCUCAACCCGGGAACUGCGUCCGAGACUGGCAGGCUUGAAUCCGGGAGAGGGAUGUGGAAUUCCAGGUGUAGCGGUGAAAUGCGUAGAGAUCGGGAGGAACAUCAGUGGCGAAGGCGGCCAUCUGGGACAACACUGACGCUGAGGCACGAAAGCGUGGGGAGCAAACAGG